UGCUGGUUUGGACAGCAGCCGAUGUCCAAUCAGACAACAGGACCGUAGGCCUUGUCAUAACGACAAGCAUGACAUCACUGCAAGGGCGAGCGGAAAGAAGACAGCGGAGCUCCAGACAGUCAGCGGGGCUCCACGGGGGCUGCACGCCGGACAGAGCGAGCCGGCUGCCGGAUAGAAACCGCGCGGACUACCGGGGCUGGAGGGUUGGAGGGGGACGCGCUGCUCAGGGCGCCGGUUGGACGUUUCAGCGCGGCUUCGGGAGCUCUGUCGCCGGACAAGUUGAUGCUUCCUCGCCGUGGGGGGGAAGAUAUGGAGGAGGUUGAGCGAAAUGGCAUCUUGUUUAAUUUCUGCCAAUCAAGACGAGAGGAAGACAACUCCCAAACUGGAAUGUCUGCGGAUGGCCCCAGCAAGCCAAAGUUUGUUGCCAUGUUUCCUAAAAAGGGGGACGAAUUUUCCACCAAAAUGCC